rnacentral:rRNA from 1 species
ACGGCAGCACGGAGCUUGCUCUGGUGGCGAGUGGCGAACGGGUGAGUAAUAUAUCGGAACGUACCCUAGAGUGGGGGAUAACGUAGCGAAAGUUACGCUAAUACCGCAUACGAUCUAAGGAUGAAAGUGGGGGAUCGCAAGACCUCAUGCUCGUGGAGCGGCUGAUAUUUGAUUAGCUAGUUGGUAGGGUAAAAGCCUACCAAGGCAUCGAUCAGUAGCUGGUCUGAGAGGACGACCAGCCACACUGGAACUGAGACACGGUCCAGACUCCUACGGGAGGCAGCAGUGGGGAAUUUUGGACAAUGAGCGAAAGCCUGAUCCAGCAAUACCGAGUGAGUGAAGAAGGCCUUCGGGUUGUAAAGCUCUUUUGUCAGGGAAGAAACGGUGAGAGCUAAUAUCUCUUGCUAAUGACGGUACCUGAAGAAUAAGCACCGGCUAACUACGUGCCAGCAGCCGCGGUAAUACGUAGGGUGCAAGCGUUAAUCGGAAUUACUGGGCGUAAAGCGUGCGCAGGCGGUUUUGUAAGUCUGAUGUGAAAUCCCCGGGCUCAACCUGGGAAUUGCAUUGGAGACUGCAAGGCUAGAAUCUGGCAGAG